UGCGUAGGCGGUCCGGCAAGUUGGGUGUGAAAUCCCUCGGCUUAACCGAGGAACUGCGCUCAAAACUGCCGGACUUGAGGGAGACAGAGGUGAGCGGAACUUAGGGUGGAGCGGUGAAAUGCGUUGAUAUCCUAAGGAACACCAGUAGCGAAAGCGGCUCACUGGGUCUCUUCUGACGCUCAGGCACGAAAGCUAGGGGAGCGAACG
rnacentral:rRNA from 1 species